UACGGAGGUGGCAAGCGUUACUCGGAUUUACUGGGUGUAAAGGGCACGUAGGCGGCCCGGUCAGCCCUGCCUAAAAUGCUCUGGCUCAACCAGAGCAGGCGGUGGGGGACUUCCGGGCUAGAGGGCGGGAGAGGCGAGCGGAAUUCCCGGUGUAAGGGUGAAAUCUGUAGAUAUCGGGAGGAACACCAGUGGCGAAAGCGGCUCGCUGGCCCGUUUCUGACGCUAAGGUGCGAAAGCUAGGGGAGCAAACAGG
rnacentral:rRNA from 1 species